AGAGAUGUGGAAUGCUAGCAAUGAAAGUGAAGCCAUAACGCUGAUUUAAAUAUCAGCCAGGUGACAAUAAUAAGUCAGACUCAUAAAAUAUCAGUGUCACUGUAUUAGAUCCGGAUUGCCCGAGCUGGCUUUUAUGAUCUGCAAAUUACAGUGUGCUGCUGCCGCAGUAAAAAGUGUUUUUAACGUUGAAGAGGAGGAUGGGCUUGCUGUGCUCGGCUACAGAGAGGAGCUUCUCCUUUUCAUAUGCUUUAGAACGAGUCAGGAUCUUACUUUGUGAUGGUUGGAUUUAAAAAAAAUAACUCUGCCAGGCGACGGAUGAAGAAAGCCACGCGGUGUAUUGGGACGAGGGAAGUCGUAUAAAAAGAACGCCUGGACGCGGUGAAAGGAAACGGAUCAUUCAAUCAUUUCCACUGUGUUUUGGCUUAUUUUUAAGCAAUGAGGUGAGUAUACAGUGUAUACAGAGGUGAGUAUGUCGAGAGCUGAGUGUGUAGAUAACAAUGUAUAAAGAGAGCCGGGUAUGUGUGGAGCUGUUUUUAUAAAGAACUGAGUAUGUAUGGAGCCGACUAAUUAGAGAACCAGAGUUAAUAUGGCACUUAUUAUAUAGACAUCCCUGCAUGUAGAGAGCCGAGUAUAUAGAGCUCCAUGAACAGCUAACGCUUGAAAGGGGGAGAAACACAUUCCUGGAUGUUUGGUGGUAAAUUUACAGCUAAAGUAAUAAAAACUUUACGACUGAAUCGAGACGGGGAUUGGGUAGGGUUUGCCACGUGACCUGCUCUCCGUGAACAUGAACUUUAUGCUUUUGGCGUUUGGUUUGGUGACUCAGAUUCACUCUCAAUCUCUAAAAGAGUAGCAUGCAGUUCUUACUGAAGCUUGAUAUAAAAUAAUAAAAGAAAAGAAGAGAGUGUUCGGUUUUUAAUUUUUCCAGUCUUCUUUAUCAGCUUCCUCGCAUCUUUAACCAGAACAGCUACAAUCGUUUAUUGAUCAUAGGCUAUAUAGUGUAAAAUAUUUCCAGCACUGACACUUAUAGAAACAGAUCUUACCAAAUACGGAAUAUUUGAAUGAAAUGAAUGGUGCCAUGAUGAAGUCCCGAGUGUUGAAUCAGAUGGGAAAAGACAGAGGACGAGUUACACCCGGUACCAAACAUUGGAGCUGGAGAAAGAGUUCCACUACAACCGAUAUUUAUCCAGACGAAGAAGACUCGAGAUCGCGAACACGCUGUGUCUGAAUGAGAGGC